CAGCAGCCACGGGAAUACAGAGGGUGCGAGCGUUAAUCGGAUUUACUGGGCGUAAAGCGUGCGUAGGCGGCUUUUUAAGUCGGAUGUGAAAUCCCUGAGCUUAACUUAGGAAUUGCAUUCGAUACUGGGAAGCUAGAGUAUGGGAGAGGAUGGUAGAAUUCCAGGUGUAGCGGUGAAAUGCGUAGAGAUCUGGAGGAAUACCGAUGGCGAAGGCAGCCAUCUGGCCUAAUACUGACGCUGAGGUACGAAAGCAUGGGGAGCAAACAGGAUUAGAUACCCGCGUAGUCCCUGUCUCUUAUAC
rnacentral:rRNA from 1 species